rnacentral:lncRNA from 1 species
GCGUGAUCCCCAACAUCAACCCCGUGCUGCUCCCCAAGAAGGCCCUCGAGAAGGCCGAGAAGGAGUCCCAGUCGCCCAAGUCGCCCAAGAGGAAGGCCCCCGCCCCCGCACCCGCCGCCAAGAAGACCCCCAAGAAGACCGCCGCCGACAAGAAGACCGCCGCCGCCGACAAGAAGACCGCCGCCGCCGACAAGAAGACCGCCGCCGCUGACAAGAAGACCGCCGCCGCCGACAAGAAGGCUGCCGCCGACGCCGAGGAGGAGGCCGCCGCCGACGAGUAGACAGGGCAAAGUUGCGUCGCGUAGUUCUGCAUCUGAGAGGGGAGAGAAAGAGAGAGAGCAUGGGAUCCUGUAUGUAAUGCCUGGUCUGGAGUCCGAACUGGUGGUAGUCUGUAGCGUCGAUUGAUCUUGAAUCACUUCUGUAGCGUCGAUUGAUCUUGAAUCACUGCUGAAUUGAAGCUGGAAACUUGAUCGUGUAGCCAAUUCCAAUCUUUUCCGUGUCAAUUUUGCGAAAUUUUGCCGGUUCUUGCCUUGAUCCCCUUGUUCGUCUGUACAUUUGUUCCCACAAUUUCACCUGGUUAGGUGUUCUUGGGGGCGAUUUGGCAAUAACUUGGUUCAGUGAGGUG